rnacentral:snoRNA from 1 species
AAGACUAUACUUUUCAGGGAUCAUUUCUAUAGUUUCUAACUGGAGAAAUGUGUUUCUAAAGUGUUUGGUCUCGCCAACCACGAUGAUGAGUCGUGAUAUUUCCUUCGGAGCAUGAAGCUGACAAGAGUAAUGAUUCGUUUCAUAGUGUUUCCUGUCAUUGAAUUGAUUGGUUUCUUACUUCCUUGUGAGUAUUGAGGAAAGGGAAUAUGAUCAGAGUGGU